rnacentral:rRNA from 1 species
AGUAACACGUGAGUAACCUGCCCUCAACAUUUGAAUAACUCCAUGAAAGUGGGGCUAAUGCAAUAUAUUCUGCAGUCAUCGCAUGGUGGUUGUGGGAAACGGUUUUUUCUGGUUGGGGAUGGGCUCGCGGCCUAUCAGCUUGUUGGUGGGGUGAUGGCCUACCAAGGCGGUGACGGGUAGCCGGCCUGAGAGGGUGGACGGCCACACUGGGACUGAGAUACGGCCCAGACUCCUACGGGAGGCAGCAGUGGGGGAUUUUGCACAAUGGGCGCAAGCCUGAUGCAGCGACGCCGCGUGAGGGAUGACGGCCUUCGGGUUGUAAACCUCUUUCGCUAGGUUGGAAGACGCUUUUUGGAGUUGUUGACUUUAACUGGUAAAGAAGUACCGGCUAACUACGUGCCAGCAGCCGCGGUAAUACGUAGGGUACUAGCGUUGUCCGGAAUUAUUGGGCGUAAAGGGCUUGUAGGUGGUUUGUCGCGUCUGUCGUGAAAACCCGGGGCUUAACUCCGGGCUUGCGGUGGGUACGGGCAGGCUUGAGUGCGGUAGGGGAGACUGGAAUUCCUGGUGUAGCGGUGGAAUG